ensembl:snoRNA SNORD39 Small nucleolar RNA SNORD55/SNORD39
UGUGAAUGAUGACACCUCCUAAUGCUGAGAUUCACUACUGUGUGUCCAGCAAGCAAUAUUGGAGAGCUGAGCAUUAA